AAUCGCAGUCUAGAAAGACACGAACAUCUGAAAAGACGAAAGCAACGCGCAAACACCACCCCAAAGCAGAGAGGAACUAACGCCCAAGCCCUCGGCAUCUGGGGACCUGCACCGCCGUACGCAAGAUGGCUGCCACCUCGCGGUUACCCCGGCAGGAAUUACAGGUUUGCGCUCGGCAUUGUGGGAACUGAAGUCCAACGUUCGCCCUGGGCCUGGUAAACCUCAGCGCUCGGAGACUCGGUCUCCCAGAAUCCAUUGCGUGAUAGACGCAGUAGCGAUAACCAAAGUAAACCCUAACUAGUUCCCAGAUUUGGAGCUGGGAAGUUAUUUAGAACUGUCAACUUUAGCUGAAAAAGGCAGCGACCUACUCUGCGAUUCAUCCGUAAAAGAAAAGAGAGUCCCUGGCACCCCAAACAGAUACAUAAGCCGCUCUCGGUGCAUGCUUUUAAGACUUUCUAGGAUACAAGGAAUCAGGCUUUUUCAAAGGGCUCUCGACAUUUGGCAUCACCCCAGUGAUGAUCAUCCAAGUAGGACUGCCGGCGUUUCUACGAAAAACCACUCAGUAAUUUCAGGCUCGUGUUCUUCUGUCCCUGGAAACAAUCACUACAGCAGAGCCUUAAGUACUUAGGAGAAAGUCGUUUCGCAGGAUCACCGUGUUGUGUUUUUCGUUGAGAAACAAAGACCAAUUACUGAGCUUUCCCGUCUAAAAAGUUAAUUUGUGACAAGCACUCAGAAUCGCAGCUGCUUUAUGACCGAGAAGGCUUAGGCUUAUGACCAAAGCAGACCAUCCCCUUACAAAGAAAGAAUCAACCUUUGAUGUUUCCUCGUCGUUAGAUCCAAGUUAUGUAUCCUCAGUGGAAACAACCAUCAGCUGACAAUUAAGCUAUUUGCUGACUUAAACGUGGCCUCCUCAUCGCCAGCAUCCCCUCUACUGCAAACUUUGCUUUUUUUAAGGAAAUGCUUUUGAAAUGGUAUCAGUGCCUUUAGCAACCUGGUGAUGCUUCCAAGUCAUAAAAAGAAUUGCAGUGUCCCUGCCAAGGAAUCGAAUGGUGAAGAUUUGCCACACCAUCUAUGGAAGGUUACCAAUUCUUGUUCUUUACCGUGUUUGUAAAAUACAUAAAAAAUACAUUAAAAAUUAUAGCAA